rnacentral:rRNA from 1 species
GGUUAAGCGACUAAGCGUACACGGUGGAUGCCCUGGCAGUCAGAGGCGAUGAAGGGCGUGCUAAUCUGCGAUAAGCGCCGGUAAGGUGAUAUGAACCGUUAUAACCGGCGAUACCCGAAUGGGGAAACCCAGUGUGACUCGUCACACUAUCAUUAACUGAAUCCAUAGGUUAAUGAGGCGAACCGGGGGAACUGAAACAUCUAAGUACCCCGAGGAAAAGAAAUCAACCGAGAUUCCCCCAGUAGCGGCGAGCGAACGGGGAGGAGCCCAGAGCCUGAAUCAGCAUGUGUGUUAGUGGAAGCGUCUGGAAAGGCGCGCGAUACAGGGUGACAGCCCCGUACACAAAAGCGCAUGUGCUGUGAGCUCGAUGAGUAGGGCGGGACACGUGGUAUCCUGUCUGAAUAUGGGGGGACCAUCCUCCAAGGCUAAAUACUCCUGACUGACCGAUAGUGAACCAGUACCGUGAGGGAAAGGCGAAAAGAACCCCGGCGAGGGGAGUGAAAAAGAACCUGAAACCGUGUACGUACAAGCAGUGGGAGCACCCUUUGGGGUGUGACUGCGUACCUUUUGUAUAAUGGGUCAGCGACUUAUAUUCUGUAGCAAGGUUAACCGAAUAGGGGAGCCGGAGGGAAACCGAGUCUUAAUUGGGCGUUAAGUUGCAGGGUAUAGACCCGAAACCCGGUGAUCUAGCCAUGGGCAGGUUGAAGGUUGGGUAACACUAACUGGAGGACCGAACCGACUAAUGUUGAAAAAUUAGCGGAUGACCUGUGGCUGGGGGUGAAAGGCCAAUCAAACCGGGAGAUAGCUGGUUCUCCCCGAAAGCUAUUUAGGUAGCGCCUCGUGAAUUCAUCUCCGGGGGUAGAGCACUGUUUCGGCUAGGGGGCCAUCCCGGCUUACCAACCCGAUGCAAACUGCGAAUACCGGAGAAUGUUAUCACGGGAGACACACGGCGGGUGCUAACGUCCGUCGUGAAGAGGGAAACAACCCAGACCGCCAGCUAAGGUCCCAAAGUCAUGGUUAAGUGGGAAACGAUGUGGGAAGGCCCAGACAGCCAGGAUGUUGGCUUAGAAGCAGCCAUCAUUUAAAGAAAGCGUAAUAGCUCACUGGUCGAGUCGGCCUGCGCGGAAGAUGUAACGGGGCUAAACCAUGCACCGAAGCUGCGGCAGCGACGCUGAUGCGUUGUUGGGUAGGGGAGCGUUCUGUAAGCCUGCGAAGGUGUGUCGUGAGGCAUGCUGGAGGUAUCAGAAGUGCGAAUGCUGACAUAAGUAACGAUAAAGCGGGUGAAAAGCCCGCUCGCCGGAAGACCAAGGGUUCCUGUCCAACGUUAAUCGGGGCAGGGUGAGUCGACCCCUAAGGCGAGGCCGAAAGGCGUAGUCGAUGGGAAACGGGUUAAUAUUCCCGUACUUGGUGUUACUGCGAAGGGGGGACGGAGAAGGCUAUGUUGGCCGGGCGACGGUUGUCCCGGUUUAAGCGUGUAGGUGUGUGUUCCAGGUAAAUCCGGUUCACUUUAACACUGAGGCGUGAUGACGAGGCACUACGGUGCUGAAGCAACAAAUGCCCUGCUUCCAGGAAAAGCCUCUAAGCAUCAGGUAACAUCAAAUCGUACCCCAAACCGACACAGGUGGUCAGGUAGAGAAUACCAAGGCGCUUGAGAGAACUCGGGUGAAGGAACUAGGCAAAAUGGUGCCGUAACUUCGGGAGAAGGCACGCUGACACGUAGGUGAAGUGAUUUACUCAUGGAGCUGAAGUCAGUCGAAGAUACCAGCUGGCUGCAACUGUUUAUUAAAAACACAGCACUGUGCAAACACGAAAGUGGACGUAUACGGUGUGACGCCUGCCCGGUGCCGGAAGGUUAAUUGAUGGGGUCAGCGCAAGCGAAGCUCCUGAUCGAAGCCCCGGUAAACGGCGGCCGUAACUAUAACGGUCCUAAGGUAGCGAAAUUCCUUGUCGGGUAAGUUCCGACCUGCACGAAUGGCGUAAUGAUGGCCAGGCUGUCUCCACCCGAGACUCAGUGAAAUUGAACUCGCUGUGAAGAUGCAGUGUACCCGCGGCAAGACGGAAAGACCCCGUGAACCUUUACUAUAGCUUGACACUGAACAUUGAGCCUUGAUGUGUAGGAUAGGUGGGAGGCUUUGAAGUGUGGACGCCAGUCUGCAUGGAGCCGGCCUUGAAAUACCACCCUUUAAUGUUUGAUGUUCUAACGUGGACCCGUGAUCCGGGUUGCGGACAGUGUCUGGUGGGUAGUUUGACUGGGGCGGUCUCCUCCUAAAGAGUAACGGAGGAGCACGAAGGUUGGCUAAUCCUGGUCGGACAUCAGGAGGUUAGUGCAAUGGCAUAAGCCAGCUUGACUGCGAGCGUGACGGCGCGAGCAGGUGCGAAAGCAGGUCAUAGUGAUCCGGUGGUUCUGAAUGGAAGGGCCAUCGCUCAACGGAUAAAAGGUACUCCGGGGAUAACAGGCUGAUACCGCCCAAGAGUUCAUAUCGACGGCGGUGUUUGGCACCUCGAUGUCGGCUCAUCACAUCCUGGGGCUGAAGUAGGUCCCAAGGGUAUGGCUGUUCGCCAUUUAAAGUGGUACGCGAGCUGGGUUUAGAACGUCGUGAGACAGUUCGGUCCCUAUCUGCCGUGGGCGCUGGAGAACUGAGGGGGGCUGCUCCUAGUACGAGAGGACCGGAGUGGACGCAUCACUGGUGUUCGGGUUGUCAUGCCAAUGGCACUGCCCGGUAGCUAAAUGCGGAAGAGAUAAGUGCUGAAAGCAUCUAAGCACGAAACUUGCCCCGAGAUGAGUUCUCCCUGAGACUUAGAGUCUCCUGAAGGAACGUUGAAGACGACGACGUUGAUAGGCCGGGUGUGUAAGCGCAGCGAUGCGUUGAGCUAACCGGUACUAAUGAACCGUGAGGCUUAACCUU